UGACUAGAUUUUUACACUCACCA
rnacentral:miRNA from 1 species